UGCUAAUAUGGACUAUGGGCAACACUCAACAGUCUGCGAUGAACUGCCAUGAGUCUAUAUUGGAACUGUGAGCAUUCAAUGUUGAAUAACGUUUUCUGUUUCUCGGAUGAUUUACGUGCUGUAACAGACGGUAGAAGCCCUUGAAACCGAAUCUUUGUUGCAAAAAGGGCCCUUUUUCUCUGUUCUCACUAAAGAAUUUGUUUUACUAGUCCCACUUUAUGCGAAAAAGCAUGUUCCUAUGUCAAAUAAGUGUUGAAAUUUUUUUAAUUAGCACAUGAGUUGUCAACCUAAGCAAGAUUUGCCAGUCCAAAUACUUCUACUACUAUUGCCUUACAAUGCAUAAAGCAUGUUGACUGUUCUUUUUUUUAGGAAGUACAACCUACUUUUGAUGUUUUAAGUUCUUUGUCUUUGAGCAUAUUAUUGCCAGAAUUUCAUGCAAGAGAAUUUGGGUUUUGUAUUACUUGUGACAUCCAUUACCAUCUCUUUUUGUCAGUGGGACUAUUGUUUUUCUCCCCAAAAUGGACCCAAAGAUGCCUUUAUCUCCAGGGCUGUUAAAUUCUGGUUGAAAUUUUCCAAUUCAUGGAAUUAAUUAAGUGAUUUUGAUUUUCUGAACUCUACUAAUUAAACUAGGCUGUUCUUAUUUUUUAAAUAGAUUUAAUGGAUUAGGUGAUUCCAUUCAAUUCAUUCAUUCGGUGUUGUUUUUUUGUUGGAUACUUGCAUAAUGUUAAUUAAUUAAUUAAUUAAGUUAUGUGAGGUUACAUAUGCAAUGCAUAUGUAACCUCACAUAACUAGGUGUAAUCUUCACCUUGAAUAGGUUUUCAUUCUUGACUCAUGAUUAUGCACACCAAUUGUUUGUUUAGAUGAGAACAAACUUAAGCAUAGCAGCUCAUUUGAAUUCAUACAAGUAUUACAAGAAGAUCCUUUAAAUUACUGUGUUGGAGCUAGCAAAACAGAAAAUGAUUAUUUUGCAGAUUAGAUUGAGCAACACAGAAGUGAAAAAAAAUAGCUGCUUUCCUUAAAAGUAGUGAGUAAUAAAACCCGGUUUCUAGUUGACCAAGCAACGAGCGUUAACGGAUGUCGAAAAAACUCGUGUUAAAACAGCGAAAUCUUACUGUUCUCUAUCUAGCGGCGAUAAAAAGGUUUUUUUUUUUCUUCUUAGUUUGGACAUUUGGACAUAGGUCACUUUAGGUCAGGUAAACCAAGUUCCAGACUGGACGGUGACGACCAAAUUUUGAUAAGUUUAUGGUUUUGAAGUUAAAAACUAAAAAAAUCACAAAUACUUCAUGUGUACUGUCAAAUAGAAAUGGAUCACCGUUGGAUUUUGACCAUCGACCAACACAUUUGGCAUUGCUUUGCUGAAAAGUUUGUAUUUCUUUGAAAAGUAAAUGAUUAAUUUAAGUUAAAGAUUUAGUAUGUUCUGUUGUUUUUGUUUAAAUUGUUGUAAAUUGGUUACAAACUAAAAAAACACUUGUAUUAUCAACAUUCCGUGUAAUUCGUCGUAGAUUCAAUACCACUACCAUUAGGUCUACACCGAAUAGUCGACGUGAGACUGAUAGAUUGAAUUACCGAGUUUUUAUUAGUUUCGUUUUUUGUUGUUGUUGAAACUAACAAUCUUAGAUAAUUUUCUAAACAAACUAGUCAAUUCAAAAACAUUAUUUAUUAAAUUGAAAGUAAGAUGUAUUUUGCUCUUGAACUUAAAUUCGAUUAUCAGCGUAGAAUUUGUUUGUUGUUACCAGUCACGAUAAUUGUAUAAUAUCUUAGGUCAAAUAACCUCCUGGAAGAUAUCUAGAUCUUCGUUCAUUUACUAUUUCUUCUACGAUAGAUCACUUGACGUUUGAUAACAUUGCAGUCUAAUGAAUUUACCUCCUGCGUAGAUCCAAGGUAGCCAUAACGGGUUGAUUGUUUGGAGAUUCACGUCGCUCAUUAAAUGAUGCAAAGUAGGCAGUGGUCGAGUUAUUUGAUCUGGAUGUUGAUUGAGGAGCCAAAAGAAAAAUGGUAUUGGGAUGCCACAGGAUACAAAACGGAUAUAUGCUACAAGAAGCACUAAAGUGAAUCAGGCGACGGAAAACGAGAAGCAACUGUCCUUGUUUGCCCGAUUGGCAUCCAUUGCUAGACAUAAUUUUUUCGACGAUAAUCUUGGGAGAAGAGAUUCGUGGCUUCGAUCGGAACCACCGUUUACAGGCCACCGAUGACAGUUUGAAGAAUGUCUAGCACAUUUUUUCUUUUUGUUUUCAUCCUCAAGGAAGAAAAAGGGUGGUAUUUCAAAGUCAUGCGUUGCCGUAUGGAUAAAGCAACACGAUUGAAUGUGACUACAGGAUGUCAGAACGUUCUAGAGUCCCGAGAUAGUUAUUCCCAAAACUCAUUUGAACUGGGCAGUCACACACGGCGACUAAUUUUAUUGCUCGUCACUUAAAAGUCAAGCCAAAGGGUUUUACCUUUGACGUGUUCUUGUCGUCAUGUUGGAUUGACCGAGGUAAGAUAAAGUCGCUCGAUCAUAAUCCUUUUAUAGCCGGUCGUAGUUAAGGAUGGUUUGAUGAUUUAGGUAACCAAUUCUGUUUUAUAUCAAAUUUUUAUUAUUCAAAUUAUUUCACAGCAGUAUUUAACAUGUCAGACCGUAGAAAAUGUUGCAGAAGGGUUACGUUGCAACGCAAAAUCUUCGCGUCAUAUUAUUUCCGCAAUUGCUGAUACUGAACGCGAUUGAUUGAGAUUAAUUGAUACAGUACAUCGCCCUGUCACAUCUCAAAUUCUACGGUUUAUAAUUUUUAUUCUAUGACCGAGUUCUUUUACAGACAGUGGCUUCUCAUUUCUUCUUCAUACCAGCGAUCAGAUUUGAUGUUUCGAAUUGUUUUAGAUUGUUAAAGCAAGUUUGUCUUUCUAAGAUGGUUCCACCAACGUGCAUGGUCGCCGAACUUGGUGGUUUUGUGCGAUACGUUUGUCUAAGUGGCAGAUAGAACGGCUAAUAAUUUAAAUCUCACUUGGGAUAAUCUACUUCUCGGACAAGUACUUUGAGGCCGGAAUUAAUUGAGUCCACUUUGCAUAUGGCUUCUUCGUGGGGUGUGUUAAUUCGAAUCAUUAGCGCCGAAGAACCUUUCAUGGAAGCUGAUUUCGGUGAGACGCAAGUGUUGAUUCGUCUGAUGGUCGAUUAUGCCAACAUGGCAGCGAAGAAACAUGCCUUGCUCAAUCGGAUUGAAAUCGCGACGUCGGAAGAAGAGCGUAUUCUUCUGGAAGAACUGUCCAGUCGCAACCAGUAUGUUGCCACGCUACUGCCUAUUUGCGCCGUCGGUGUUCAGGAAGAUUGCCGAACUUAUAGCUACUGCGUAGCACUGAGCUCUGAUCAGACACAACCAAACUGGAAUGAUCUAGCUACCUACGCCCGCUUAAUGGCGCGUGUGUGCCAUAAUGUCGAUCGUGUUUGCUACAUAUUCAGAAAGGCUGUGCGUGACAAACGUUACAUCUACCUACUUAACGAGUAACAUUUUGGCGACUUUGAGCGAUUCGAGUCAACGCAUUCCAUCAUGCCAACGAUCAGUCGUUUUUCGACCAUUUCUUUCACAGGAUUUUACGACUGGACUUCCUACAAUUCCUGAUACCCAUUUGCCCCAAGAGGUUGUAGACAAGAUGGUUGAAACCGUCUUAUCUGUGUCAGGAAUUUCCAGAGUCUUGUAUGACCUGACGGUGAAACAACCCGGGAAAACGGAGUGGGAAUAAUUUUAUUUACGAACGUUGCGUAGGCAAAUGAUUUCCGCACUCUUCAUAGGACACGGAUACGGAGUUGUAUCAUUGGCCAGAUUUAUAUGGGAAAUAUUAUAAACAGUGUAUUCAGCAUAGACUUUUGAAAUUGAAAAAUCAAUCAGCUUUGUCAUUUCGUGAAAAUCUCCUAACCCGCUUCUUAAGAGGAGUUCACGUGAUGACUUGUUGACUAUUCCUUAAAUAUUCAUGCACACUUGUUGGAAAUAAUGGGUGCAUUUGUUUUUCGUCGAACAAAUUAAACAUUUUAAUGUGUAGCUAGGUUGGUUGUUGUUUCUCUCCCUUGUAGAACUACUCUUUUUCGCCUAAUUGUUUAUCUAAUUCUUUUGGAACGCUCGGAGGUCGUCCAAAACAAGCGUAAGGUCAUUUGAUGCGUUAUGCCAUUUCCUGAAAUUGAACAUUCAGAAAAUGUGUUUGUUCGCAAAAGGUUAAGAUCUAUUCAGAUUUGUACCAUAAAGUAUGACUGUCGGAAAGGGUACGUAGGCUUCUAAAAGUGAAGAAGAGCUUUGAAGUCUUUGGUAAGCGAAAAGGUACUGCAAAGGGAAGCGUCGCAUGACAGUUUCAUGGAUGGACUCUUUCCUUUGCUUUGCCCUAUGAUUCUGUGCUUUGAACUGGCAGAUGGCGUUUAGCAGUGGCACCCAAUUUUUAUCUUAAAAGCCAGAGGUGUUAUUCACUUUUCAGGGGAAUUGAUUGAUGAUACUUGUUGAUUAAACCAUGAACAAUACCAAUAGAUGGAUAAGUGGAGGGUUAUUGAAGUAUAAAACUAAUUUCUCAUGGCAUUUCCAUUCACGCAUGUGGGACAGUUCGUGAGCAGACGAACCAUUGAAAGAGCCUUGCGCAGUCUAGUUGCAUCCAGCCAGAUACUAGUAGAACCCAAAACAUUGUCUUGACAAGUACUGCCAUAUUUCGGUUGCAGGUUUUCAGUAAAUACCAAGGAAGGUUUGGUAGCUAUUAUUCCGUGUUUUUCUUGCUUUCAACACUGCAGGCUGGUCCUACGAGCUACGAAAGUUUUACCUACAAAUGUUUAGCGUUUCGUGCUGCAACUAGUAGUUGAUAUUCAAGGAUGUUAUGCCUAAAAUUGGAAUUCAGCUAUCAGAGAUUAGCAAAAUUCAAACGGAAACUCUAGAUGGCGUUGAUGUGCGUCUAUGAUGAAGAUUAUGAGUCACAAGUUAAAUGGGUGUUUGUUACGUUACCCUGUUAUGUGUUUCAAAGGAUUUUUCGUCAAAAAUUUUACGAUUGCUUUUUGUAUGUGGGGGUGUUGCGCCUUGUCAGCUAUGCCAGCUGCUGAACCAGUAGCCUGCAUUCCUGCUAUCAAUGUACCACAAGUGAUCCUGACACUUUAAGAAGACAAUUAUUGCUUACAUGAAGAUCACCAUCCAGUUCAAGUACUGUUAAUGGACCUCAAGCCAUUCGUUUAAGCUUAGGGAUGUGUUCUCUCACCAGUCAACGACAGUCUUCAUCUACUUUUGUUGCUAACCAUCAGCCUUCAGCAUCCCAGGUAUCCAGAUUUCCAAGUUUCUCUGAUUAGUUAACCAUCAUCCAUACCCUUCAGCUCUUCAUUGUGGCUUCUCUUCCUCUCAUCUUAGUCUGCUGAAUGCCAACAUUGAAUAACGUUCAUCAUCAUUACCUUUCCAUGAAAAUCUUCAUUUUUUAUCCUGCGGUUCUUCUCACCGUUACUUAGCCAGCUCACAUGGAUAGGGUUUAACAACAACUCCAUUUUUUGGACUGCAAAUAUUAAUUUUCUUUCGGUACAACACUGCCGUUUUGACAAUUUCGGGAGUUUCGCCCCCAGUGAACCAAACGCAACUACAUUUUCUUCGUCUUCCUGUCGUUGUUGGCUACGACUUCACCUCAUCGCUGUCUUCGUUGACGUCUUCGCCUUCAUCUCCGUCUCGUCGUCUUGGUCGUCUUCGCCUUCAUCUCCGUCUCGUUGUCUUGGUCGUCUUCGCCUUCAUCUCCGUCUCGUCGUUUUCGCCGUCUUUGUCUACGCCAUCACCUUGUCGCCGGCUUCUCCUUCACCCUUUACAAGGGAAUUCACCGUGGAUCGUCGCUCUGGUAUUGUUUUAUUUUGCAUUGUAAUUGUUAAGUUAACCCGUUGGCUGCCACCCCGUUUGCGUCCCAUUUUUGUUGUAGCUUGUAGGGACCGGCCGCAAUGGCCUUCGCCGCAAGGCGCCUUAGG